rnacentral:rRNA from 1 species
UACGUAGGGUGCAAGCGUUGUCCGGAAUCAUUGGGCGUAAAGCGCGCGUAGGUGGCUUCGUAAGUCCGUUGUGAAAGUCAAAGGCUCAACCUUUGAAAGCCGAUGGAUACUGCGGAGCUAGAGUACGGAAGAGGCGAGUGGAAUUCCUGGUGUAGCGGUGGAAUGCGCAGAUAUCAGGAGGAACACCAAUAGCGAAGGCAGCUCGCUGGGACGUUACUGACGCUGAGACGCGAAAGCGUGGGGAGCGAACAGG